UACAUGUGGGGCAAGCGUUGUCCGGAAUCAUUGGGCGUAAAGCGCGUGUAGGCGGUCCGGUAAGUCCGCUGUGAAAGUCGGGGGCUUAACCCUCGGAUGCCGGUGGAUACUGUCGGGCUUGAGUACGGAAGAGGCGAGUGGAAUUCCUGGUGUAGCGGUGAAAUGCGCAGAUAUCAGGAGGAACACCAAUUGCGAAGGCAGCUCGCUGGGACGUUACUGACGCUGAGACGCGAAAGCGUGGGGAGCAAACAGG
rnacentral:rRNA from 1 species